UUAAGUGGACAGAUUUUUUGAAUUGGAGAAUCUUACCUGAUGCAGGUGGAUGCGGUCGUGUUCCCGGUGAAACAGAAAUUGUCGAUGGAGAGCGCAUUGUACGUUGGACUACCAAGGAAGAAAAAAAUGCUGCCAAACCGGAAUCCAUGUGGAUCUGGAAAUGAAAGUAAGAGAAGAUGAAAUUGACCAAAAGGAAUCGACUGACCCUUAUGUGGUCUCCAUUUACCGAGAGGAGGACUUUCUGACUGUUGGACAUCGCCGACAAAAGCCUGACUUUUUAUGAACGGCACAAUCCCGUUCAAGAUCAGACAAAUAUUACCGGGAGACAGAACAGGAUUGCUGACGGGUCUGCUGUCUUCCGGCACCCCUUACAUUAAAGGUGAGAUACAGGUAAACAUUUGAACCCCUAUUAAAAAUGAGAUCAUCUCAGUCAUCUCAUCAUGUGAUUUUCGGUUAUUAAUCCUCUCCUUAAAAGACCUAACCUCGAUCCUGACCUCAUGGUAAACUACCGACCGGUGUCUCACCUUCCCUUUAUUUCGAAAAUCCUCGAAAAAAUUGUUGCAGAGCAGCUAAAUGAACACUUAGCGUUUAACAAUCUAUGUGAAACCUUUCAAUCCGGUUUCAGGGCAAAUCACUCUACUGAGACAGCCCUCACAAAAAUGACUAAUGAUCUAUUGCUAACGAUGGAUUCUGAUGCGUCAUCUGUGUUGCUGCUCCUCGAUUUUAGUGCUGCUUUCGAUACCGUCGAUCAUAAUAUUUUAUU